rnacentral:rRNA from 1 species
GACGAACGCUGGCGGCGUGCCUAACACAUGCAAGUCGAACGGAGCGGCGAGGAGCUUGCUUUUCUUACCUUAGUGGCGAACGGGUGAGUAACGCGUGAAUAACCUGCCUUGGAGUGGGGGACAACAGUUGGAAACGAGUGCUAAUACCGCAUAAGCUCAUGAUCCGGCUUCGGAGUUAGGGAAAAGGGGUUAUUCGGUUCAGGAUGGACUCGCGUCCAAUUGGUUAGGUGGUGGGGUAUCGGCCCACCAAGGCGAGGAAGGGUAGCCGGACGGAGAGGUUGAACGACCACAGUGGGGCUGAGACACAGCCGAGACUCGUACGGAAGGGAGGAGAGGGUGAUAGAGCACAAUGGGGGAAGACCUGAUGAAGCGGCGCCGCGUAGAGGCAGAAGGUUUUCGGAUACCAAUCUCCUGUGGUUAGGGCCGAUAAUGACGGUACCUAACAAGAAAGCACCGGCUAACUACGUG